GUGCAACUCUUACUCUGCCUAUGGUGAAGUGUGACUAGUCACACGGAACCUGUUGGGGUUUUGCUUGAUACAUUUCUUUGCCCCUUUCCCUUAACGGCAUAUGUUAACCUUUCAAAAUAUAUUGGUGUCUUUUCGCUUAAUUUGAUCCUUGAGAGUUACUUUGUUUGAGUAACUCGCACCUGACAUGGUGCCCUGGAUAACAGAAGGAAGUUU